GCCUUCGUGAUGUAGUGAUCAGCACACUCGACGUGUAUUUGAGAGACCUGAGGUUCGAGUCCCAGCGAGGGCA
rnacentral:tRNA from 1 species